rnacentral:rRNA from 1 species
UUCCUACGGGGGGCAGCAGUGGGGGAUAUUGCACAAUGGGGGGAACCCUGAUGCAGCGACGCCGCGUGGGUGAAGGAGCGUUUCGGCGCGUAAAGCUCUAUCAGUAGGGAAGAAGAAAGACGGUACCUGACUAAGAAGCCCCGGCUAACUACGUGCCAGCAGCCGCGGUAAUACGUAGGGGGCAAGCGUUAUCCGGAUUUACUGGGUGUAAAGGGAGCGUAGACGGCAUAGCAAGUCUGAAGUGAAAGCCCGUGGCUCAACCGCGGAACUGCUUUGGAAACUGUUAAGCUGGAGUACUGGAGAGG